AAUUCAAAUGAACACCAACUCAUCCCUUAUCCACUAAAGGCGUGAGGCAUGGCUUAAAUUGUGCAUGGAGUGAUUUCAUGAGAAAUCUUUUCUCAUGUAAUAAAUGGGGCAUAAAAAAAGAAUAAGGUACAAAGAUUGAUUACCCAUUCAAAUUCAAACUUUAUUUUGAAUUUGAAUGACCAACCAAUCAUCCUUAUCCAUUCAUAUGGCACAUUAAAGUGGGGCGU
rnacentral:lncRNA from 1 species